UCGUGAUUCUAGUUGAUAAAGUGACUAGCCAUUGACAGGUUCUGGCAGACUUCACUUAUGGGAUCACCAUCCUGGUAUUUGUGCUGCUGCUUUUCCUGAGAACAUUUGAUAGAAAUCGAUCUUCAUUGUUGCAGGAAGGUUAUAUGGACUCUGUUAGGGUGAAUAUCUCAUCUUAUAGGGUUUCCAUGAUGCUUGCGACAUCCCUCGCUAUUCUGGCGGUUGAUUUCAAGAUAUUUCCCAGAAGAUAUGCAAAAACAGAGACGUACGGCACUGGCUUGAUGGAUCUCGGGGUUGGAUCAUUUGUAUUAGCAAAUUCCUUAGUUUCACGACAGGCUCGUGGCUCCUUAAAUAUGUAAGUGCUCGCUCUUUUAUGUCUUUUCUUUUGUAACUAUUAUUUUUCUUGUGUACAAGUUGAGCUAUACUCACAUAUGAAAUGCAAAUAAGAUACUCUUAUUAGUUAAACUAGUACUAUAAAGUUUAGAAAUGGUUACGAGAAUAACAAACCCAUUCCUUCUGUUCUUCCCAUGUAUUACGGAUUUUCUCAUAUUUAAAAAAGUCAUGAAUAAAUUUUACUGUUAAUUUUUUUUUUUCUAGUUUUAAAAUAAUAAAGUAGCCAAGUAGGGGUAGCGUGUCUUACAAGUGAAACACACAAGGUCCGGAAUUCGGCAGGAUGGCCCCUCUCUAGUUGGGGCAAGAAGACUACCACAUUUCCUUUUCUUAAUCACAUUUUUUUUUCCUUAACAACUUAAAUUUAGAAUGUUGAUUAUAUAUUUUGAACAAAUUUAUGAAUUAACAAUGAUAAAUUGGCAAAUAUCUUCCAGAUAUGAGUAGAUGAGGUACCUCGUAUUCUCUAAGCUUCUAAAUUUUGAUAAUUGCAAUUAAAAU